rnacentral:rRNA from 1 species
UACGGAGGAUCCAAGCGUUAUCCGGAAUUACUGGGCGUAAAGAGUUGCGUAGGUGGCAUUGUAAGUUGGUAGUGAAAGCGUAGGGCUCAACCCUAUAUCCAUUACCAAAACUGCAAAGCUAGAGGAUGAGAGAGGUCGCUAGAAUUCCCUGUGUAGGAGUGAAAUCCGUAGAUAUAGGGAGGAAUACCGAUGGCGUAGGCAGGCGACUGGCUCAUUCCUGACACUAAGGCACGAAAGCGUGGGGAGCAAACGGG